rnacentral:rRNA from 1 species
AGCGAACGUUUGCGGCGGGCCUAACACAUGCAAGUCGAACGCACUAGCAAUAGUGAGUGGCGCACGGGUGCGUAACACGUGGGUAAUCAACCCUUCAGCCUGGGAUAACGACUCGAAAGGGUCGCUAAUACCGGAUACGGCGCGAGAGGCUUCGGCUUCUCACGAGAAAGCCACGCAAGGGGCACUGAAGGACGAGCCUGCGGCCCAUCAGCUAGUUGGUGAGGUAAGAGCUCACCAAGGCUAAGACGGGUAGCUGGUCUGAGAGGAUGAUCAGCCACACUGGAACUGAGACACGGUCCAGACUCCUACGGGAGGCAGCAGUGGGGAAUAUUGCGCAAUGGGCGAAAGCCUGACGCAGCCACGCCGCGUGAGCGAAGAAGGCCUCGGUUGUAAG